UCUCCGUAGGUGAACCUGCGGAGGGAUCAUUACAGAGUUCAUGCCCUACCGGGUAGAUCUCCCACCCUAUGUUAUUAUUACUUUGUUGCUUCGGCGGGCCGUUAGGCUCCGGCCCGACUACCGGCCCCGGCUGGUAAGCGCCCGCCAGAGGACCCAAAACCCUGAAUAUUAGUGUCGUCUGAGUACUAUAUAAUAGUUAAAACUUUCAACAACGGAUCUCUUGGUCCUG
rnacentral:misc_RNA from 1 species